CAUUUCCUAUCUUAAAAUCUUCACAAAAUGCUGAGGUGGACCCAUCUCAAAGGGACUAAUUAUCAUUAUGAUGGUGUGCAGCUGCAGGAAAUGACAGAGGGGAUUCAUGUUUUCAUGUGCAGGACUGCACUGUGCAGCCGUGGGCUUCUGGGCUCGACGGUAGCAAACUUAAGAAGCGACUGCAGAGGAUUCACAGCAUUCAGCAGCGCUACCAGACCAAGAAGAGGACAGGACUGUGUCUCCAUCACAGUCAAAGGGACAUUCGGUCUGCACUGAUUGUAGCAGUAGAGUCCACAACAACACACACAUUGAACUUGAAGCUUUACUUUUCCUUCCCUUCCAGCGCUUCUUUGGGAUAUAGUCUGUCACACAUUACCAGCUUUGACAGAAGUGUGAAGGAAAUACGUGAAAUGGCCUGAGGCGUAGCCACGGCCGGCUUAACCACAAACAGGCCGUGCCAGUCUUCUCACAACAGGUAUUUCUGUAGCACGACUGAGAGGUGAAAGUGUAGCUUAAGUUACUCCAAAUGAGAAAAUGCUGUCGCAGGGCUUUCAUGUCCUCGACCCAACAGCUAUGUGUCGCGGUGAUACCCAUGAAAAGCAGUUUUGAUGAUGAUGUCACUAUGCACUAAUCUGAUUGCUCUCAUUUUCUCCGUCUCGCUUAAGGUCACUUCUCCUACAUCCUGUCAGUAACGCAAUUCAACAUGCAG
ensembl:lncRNA